UACGUAGGUGGCAAGCGUUAUCCGGAUUUAUUGGGUGUAAAGGGCGUGUAGGCGGGAGCGCAAGUCAGAUGUGUAAACUCAGGGCUCAACCCUGAGCCUGCAUUUGAAACUGUGUUUCUUGAGUGCUGGAGAGGCAAUCGGAAUUCCGUGUGUAGCGGUGAAAUGCGUAGAUAUACGGAGGAACACCAGUGGCGAAGGCGGAUUGCUGGACAGUAACUGACGCUGAGGCGCGAAAGCGUGGGGAGCAAACAGG
rnacentral:rRNA from 1 species